GACGAACGCUGGCGGCACGCCUAACACAUGCAAGUCGAACGGUAAGGCCCUUUCGGGGGUACACGAGUGGCGAACGGGUGAGUAACACGUGGGUAACCUACCUUUCACUGGGGGACAACCGAGGGAAACUUCGGCUAAUACCGCAUGAUGUGCACUACCUCAAGAUGGUGUACCAAAACUCCGGUGGUGAAAGAUGGGCCCGCGGCAGAUUAGCUAGUUGGUGGGGUAAAGGCCCACCAAGGCAACGAUCUGUAGCUGGUCUGAGAGGACGAUCAGCCACACUGGAACUGAGACACGGUCCAGACUCCUACGGGAGGCAGCAGUGGGGAAUCUUGCGCAAUGGGCGAAAGCCUGACGCAGCGAUGCCGCGUGAGGGAAGAAGGUCUUAGGAUUGUAAACCUCUUUCAGCAGGGACGAAAACAGACGGUACCUGCAGAAGAAGCCCCGGCUAACUACGUGCCAGCCGCCGCAGUAAAAC
rnacentral:rRNA from 1 species